rnacentral:rRNA from 1 species
GUGUCAGCAGCCGCGGUAAUACAGAGGUCUCAACCGUUGUUCGGAUUCAUUGGGCGUAAAGGGUGCGUAGGCGGUCGCGUAAGUCAGGUGUGAAAUCUCAGGGCUCAACCCUGAAACUGCACUUGAUACUGCGUGGCUCGGGUACUGGAGAGGAGACUGGAAUUUACGGUGUAGCAGUGAAAUGCGUAGAUAUCGUAAGGAAGACCAGUGGCGAAGGCGAGUCUCUGGACAGUUACCGACGCUGAGGCACGAAGGUCAGGGGAGCAAACGGGAUUAGAAACCCUCGUAGUCC